GGCUCUGUAGCUUAACUGGAUAGAGCACCUGACUACGGAUCAGGAGGUUGGGGGUUCGAAUCCCUUCAGAGUCACAA
rnacentral:tRNA from 1 species